rnacentral:rRNA from 1 species
UACGGAGGGUGCGAGCGUUGUCCGGAAUCACUGGGCGUAAAGGGCGCGUAGGCGGCCUGAUAAGUAGGGGGUGAAAUCCUGCGGCUUAACCGCAGGGCUGCCUUCUAAACUGUCAGGCUGGAGCACAGUAGAGGCAGGUGGAAUUCCGGGUGUAGCGGUGGAAUGCGUAGAGAUCGGGAAGAACAUCAGUGGCGAAGGCGGCCUGCUGGGCUGUUGCUGACGCUGAGGCGCGACAGCGUGGGGAGCAAACGAGG